GACGAACGCUGGCGGCGAGCUUAACACAUGCAAGUCGAACGGUGAUGGGUGGAGCUUGCUCUGCUUUGAUCAGUGGCGAACGGGUGAGUAACACGUGAGUAACCUGCCCCAGACUAUGGAAUAACCCCGGGAAACCGGUGCUAAUACCGGAUAUGACACAGAUCGCAUCGUUUCUGUGUGGAACACUGUGCGGUUUGGGAUGGACUCGCGGCCUAGCAGCUUGUUGGUGAGGUAAUGGCUCACCAAGGCGACGACGGGUAGCCGGCCUGAGAGGGCGAACGGCCACACUGGGACUGAGACACGGACCAGACUCCUACCGGACGCAGCAGUGGGGAAUAUUGCACACUGCGCGCAAGCCUGAUGCAGCGACGCCGCGUGAGGGAUGACGGCCCUCGGGUUGUACACCUCUUUCAGCUCCUAAGAAGCGAGCGUGACGGUAGGACCAGAAGAAGCACCGGCUAACUACGUGCCAGCAGCCGCAGUAAAAC
rnacentral:rRNA from 1 species